rnacentral:rRNA from 1 species
UACAGAGGUCUCAAGCGUUGUUCGGAUUCAUUGGGCGUAAAGGGUGCGUAGGUGGUUGGGUAAGUCUGAUGUGAAAUCUCCGGGCUCAACCCGGAAAUGGCAUUGGAUACUAUUCGGCUAGAGGUUUGGAGGGGGGACUGGAAUUCUCGGUGUAGCAGUGAAAUGCGUAGAUAUCGAGAGGAACACCAGUGGCGAAGGCGAGUCCCUGGACAACACCUGACACUGAGGCACGAAAGCUAGGGGAGCAAACAGG